UACGUAGGUGGCAAGCGUUGUCCGGAAUUAUUGGGCGUAAAGCGCGCGCAGGCGGUCCUUUAAGUCUGAUGUGAAAGCCCACGGCUCAACCGUGGAGGUCAUUGGAAACUGGGGGACUUGAGUGCAGAAGAGGAAAGCGGAAUUCCACGUGUAGCGGUGAAAUGCGUAGAGAUGUGGAGGAACACCAGUGGCGAAGGCGCUUUCUGGUCUGUAACUGACGGUGAGGCGCGAA
rnacentral:rRNA from 1 species